CCUACGGGAGGCAGCAGUGGGGAAUAUUGGACAAUGGGCGAAAGCCUGAUCCAGCCAUGCCGCGUGUGUGAAGAAGGUCUUCGGAUUGUAAAGCACUUUAAGGUGGGAGGAAGGGUUUGUAGAUUAAUACUCUGCAAUUUUGACGUUACCGCCAGAAUAAGCACCGGCUAACUCUGUGCCAGCAGCCGCGGUAAUACAGAGGGUGCAAGCGUUAAUCGGAAUUACUGGGCGUAAAGCGCGCGUAAGGUGGUUUGUUAAGUCGGAUGUGAAAUCCCCGGGCUCAACCUGGGAACUGCAUCCGAAACUGGCAAGCUAGAGUAUGGUAGAGGGUAGUGGAAUUUCCUGUGUAGCGGUGAAAUGCGUAGAUAUAGGAAGGAACACCAGUGGCGAAGGCGACUACCUGGACUGAUACUGACACUGAGGUGCGAAAGCGUGGGGAGCAAACAGGUAUUAGACUACCCGUAGGUAGUCCGACGACCGUAACCGUACGUAGUACUAACUACGUACCGGUUCGGGUACCGUUACGUAGUACGUUUAGUUGGUCGGCGACGUACGUACG
rnacentral:rRNA from 1 species